GGGGGAUAAAUUAAUAAAGUAUAAAUAAUAAAAAAAUUUUUAAUAUUAAAAUAUUUUAAUGGGGGUUAAAGUAUAUUUAAUAGAAAAAAUAAAAAAAUUUAUAGAAAAUUAGUAUUGUAAAAGAAAUUUGAAAUAUAUUGAAAAUAAAUUUAUUUAAAAGUAAAUUUAAUUUAUUGUAUCUUGUGUAUCAGAGUUUAUUAAUAAUAAUUUUUAUAUAUAAAAUUUUCUCGAAUUUAAAAGAGAUAAUUAAUUAUUAAAGUUAAUGUUGUAUAAUUAUUUUAAAUAAUUAAUUGGAAAUGAGAUGUUAAUCGUUUUUAAAUAUAUCUAGUUUUUUUAGAAAAAAAUUUAAUUUUAAAUUUUAAAAAGAAUAUAAUUUUAAUUAAUUAAAAUUAUAUUUUUAAAAUUAAAUAUUUUAAGGGAUAAGCUUUAAAAUAAAUUUUUAUAAUAAAUUUUAACAAUAAUUAAAAUUUUUAAAAUUUAUAUUGUUUAUAAAUUAUAAUUUUUUAUAAAUAAUUUUAAUUAAAUUAAAAUUUUAAAUUUAUUUAAUUUUUUAUUAAAAAAUAUUUUUUAAUAAUUAAAAUUUAGAUAUAAUGAUAAAAUUAGUAUAUAAAUGAAUAAAUAAUAUAGUUUAUUAUUUGAUAAUUUAAUAAAAGGAAUUCGGCAAAAAUUAUAUUCACUUGUUUAUCAAAAACAUGUCUUUUUGGUUAAUAAUUUAAAGUCUAAUCUGCCCACUGAUAAUAUAUUAAAGGGCUGCAGUAUUUUGACUGUACAAAGGUAGCAUAAUCAUUAGUCUCUUAAUUGGUGACUUGUAUGAAAGAUUUGAUGAGAUAUAUACUGUCUCUUUUUAAUUUAUAAAAUUUAAUUUUUUAGUUAAAAAGCUAAAAUAUAUUUAAAAGACGAGAAGACCCUAUAGAGUUUUAUAUUUAUAUAAAUUAAAAUUUUUUAUAAGCUUUAAAAUUUUAAUUUAUAUAAAUAUUUUGUUGGGGUGAUAAAAAAAUUAAAAUAACUUUUUUUAUAAUUUUACAUUAAUAAAUGAAUAAAUGAUCCGUAAUUUACGAUUAUAAGAUAAAAUUACCUUAGGGAUAACAGCGUAAUUUUUUUUUUUAGUUCAAAUAAGAAAAAAAGUUUGCGACCUCGAUGUUGGAUUAAGAUAAAAUUUAAAUGCAAAAGUUUAAAAUUUUUGAUCUGUUCGAUCAUUAAAAUCUUACAUGAUCUGAGUUCAAACCGGUGUAAGCCAGGUUGGUUUCUAUCUUUAGAUUAAUAAAAUAUUUUAGUACGAAAGGAUCAAAUAUUUAAAAUAGUUUUAUUUAAAAGAAUUUUAAUAAUAGUAUAUUUUUAAAUAUG
rnacentral:rRNA from 2 species